rfam:Dipodomys ordii contig_80803, whole genome shotgun sequence.
GGUGGCUCAGUGGUAGAGUGCUUGCCUUGCAUGCAUGAGUCCCUGGGUUAAAUUUCUCAGCACCA